rnacentral:rRNA from 1 species
CGUAGGGUGCAAGCGUUAUCCGGAAUCACUGGGCGUAAAGCGUGCGUAGGCGGAAAUUUAAGUGCAAUGUUAAAUCGAGUGGCUCAACCAUAUCGAUGCAUCGCAUACUGGGUUUCUAGAGGACGGCAGAGGCAAGUGGAAUUUGUAGUGUAGCAGUGAAAUGCGUAGAUAUUACAAGGAACACCAAUGGCGAAGGCAGCUUGCUGGGCCGAACCUGACGCUGUGGUACGAAAGCGUGGGGAGCGAACAGGAUUAGAUACCCUGGUAGUCCACGCCGUAAACGAUGCAUACUAGACGUAUGGGGUAUCGACCCCCUGUGCGUCGCAGCUAACGCGAUAAGUAUGCCGCCUGGGAAGUACGGCCGCAAGGCUA